rnacentral:lncRNA from 1 species
CUCAUCAGAACCAACCCUCGUUGUCUUUGUGCUGUCGUGCUUUCUCCUUUGGCCAAAAACGCUGGAAUCAAUCCUGGAGUCGCAAUCGCUAUUCCCAAACGUUGUAACAUCCGCAACCGCCCAGCUGGCAAGCGAUGUGGACGUAUGGAUUCAUCUAAAUCUCAUAAGUAAUGUAUAAUAUAUGAAGUUCUCGACUUACCUUUUACAUGCCUUUAUGUGUUUUUGCAGGUUACAUUGUUCCAUGAAGAUUUAACUUCGCUUUGGAUCUUUUAGG